rnacentral:rRNA from 1 species
UACGGAGGGUGCAAACGUUGCUCGGAAUCAUUGGGCGUAAAGCGCACGUAGGCGGUCCGGUAAGUCGGGUGUGAAAGCCCUCGGCUUAACUGAGGAAGUGCAUUCGAAACUACCGGACUUGAAUACUGAAGAGGAUCGCGGAAUUCCCGGUGUAGAGGUGAAAUUCGUAGAUAUCGGGAGGAACACCAGUGGCGAAGGCGGCGAUCUGGGCAGAUAUUGACGCUGAUGCGCGAAAGCGUGGGUAGCAAACAGG